UCUCUUCACAAAGCGGCCCAGGUGAUGAGAAAUCGAAUUUAAAAGAUCGGGCUGCGUUUUGAUCCUCGAAUGCGAGCGCCAACAACACCGUGUGACGCAAGGUCGAACCUGGCAAAUCCGCUGUGAAGGACGCUGUCGUCUGCCGUCAAGUCUGAAGCUCCUUUGCUUUAUCCUGCACGUCGCCCGCUUUCACAUGUGAAUUUGAAUUUCAAGUGACGCGGAUACUCUUUGUGAAUCCGGAGAUCGUUUGGCUGUCCACUCAUACCCCGUACGGAAGCAAGCAACCAGGAGAAUCUUUGCGCUUGCAUCAUUCGCGUUAGUCCGCGUGAGAUGCCGUCGGGAAACCGAUGCAGCGUUCCCGGCUGCAGGAAAACUUCAGUAGAAAACCCCGAGGCGACAUUUCACAUGCCUAGGGACAGCCAGACGAAGCGAAAGUGGGAAGCUGCUAUCACCAGCAGGUAUCCAGAUGAAGCACGGUGUAUUCACGCUGUCCGCCUAUGCUCCUCGCAUUUCACCGAUGAUGCAUACCUGGAUGAGAGUAUCCUGCAGGUGCAGCUUGGACUGGCGCAAAAAGGGAAGAGACUGAAACUUGACGCCGUUCCGACAGUGUUCCACGAACAAAAGGAGCCAGCAACUUCGACAUGUACCGGACCCAAAGGACACAACAGUUCACCUGUCGCAGCUAACGGAAACCUCCGGGAACGAAGAUGAUGAACCUGCAAGAUCCUCACGGCCACAGCACUCCAAGUCUCACAUAGUGCACCUAGCACCAAGUGGUGAUGGACGGCUGAUCCUCGUAGCGGAAUCUAGCCUACGGGAACUGCUGUCAUCUUUCUCUUGUUAUGAUGGCAAGGACCUCUCCAGAGAAAUCACACUGAUAGGUACAUGAAUAAAGGCCACAACAGAUUGUAGCAGAUGUUAUCAGCAGUGUACGUGGUCCAGCCAGCCUUGGAUUGGAAGCAGGCCCUUGGGCAACAUUCUCUUUUGCUCGUCCAUUCUAUUUUCUGGAGUGAACAUCGCAAAAACAUUCCGGAUGUUCGAAGCGCUGAAGGUGGCGACACUAUCAAAGUCGCAGUACUACAGGACACAGAGAGAGGUCCUUCUUCCUGCUGUCA